UUUGGAGUAUUUACAGGUGAGAAAUGGACCUGCUAUGCCUGAAUUUAUGAAGCUUGCUGCUUGAGUAGGCUGGCUCUACUUUUCCCCUUACAAGGUCAUUACAAUGCAUCCAUAUGUUUGAAGUAUGAAUCAAAAUGACAUGAGGGUAUACUUUAGGGAUUUUUGUGAGAGUCAGUGAGUGGAACUAGAAGCUAAUCAUGUUGACAUUGCCUUAAAAUAACCUUUCCCCUGCCUUUGAAAUACAUUCUGGGAAAGAAGGGAGAGGGGCCUAAGGCUCCCUAUGAAACAGUGAGACCAAAUAGAAGUUGAAUUGUUAUUUUAAUCUUAAUCCUUACUUAUUAUAAAAUAAAAAAUAAAAAUUACUUAAUCGAAACAAUUAUUAAAUAAUUACACGAUAAGACUGACACAAUCGUUAUCAUACACCUGAUGUCUAAUUGUAUUUCUUUUAUCUAGUUUAAGCUGUCUAUCUUUUAUCAUUAUGCCUGUUAUAAUUGAUUUGUGUCAAUAAGUUUGGAUUUGUAUGGCUUGACUCUCCAAUUUGUUUUCUUAAUCAGCCCUCCAUUGUUGUUGUCCUGGGCUUUAUUGGGUUCAAGAUGAUCUUAGAUUUCUUUGGUUAUCACGUAUCAACUGAGGUUUCUCUUGGUUUCGUAGCUACAACUCUUAGUUCUGGAGUUUUGUUGAGUUUAAUGAAGAAUUCUAACAAGAAUUAGAUGAAGAGCCUUCCAAUCAUGGUGGUGGGUGCUUAAUCCAUAUUUUAAUAUUUUUUUUUUAAUAUCUCUGAGCAAUUACAUUGUUCCUCUUACUCCAUGUCUGUCUAGUUUCCAGUCAGCAGGUGAACCACAAAAAACUUGAAUUCAUGUACAUUCAUUUUUUUAUUUUUUAUUUUGGUGGCAAUUGCUUUGUUGUAUAGUUGGAGAUGUUAGGUAAGGAAAGUCGUUUCGGAUAAAACAGUGUAAAGUUGAGUUAAUUUAUGAGAAAUGAAUGAUUCAA